rnacentral:lncRNA from 1 species
UAGGGUUUAGGAUUUGGAUUAGGAUUUGAUUUAGGAUUUAGGAUUUAGAUUAGGAUUUGAUUAGGGCUUAAUUUAGUGUUUAAGGUUUACUUAGAAUUUGGUUUAGGAUUUAGGAUUUGGAUUAGGAUUUGGUUUAGGGUUUAAGAUUUGGAUUAGGAUUUGGUUAGGAUUUGAUUUAGAAUUUAGGGUUUGAUUUAGGAUUUGGUUAGGAUUUGGUUUAGAAUUUGGUUGGGAUUUGGUUUAAGGUUUGUUUAGGGUUUGAUUUAGGAUUUAGGAUUUUAUUAGGAUUUAAGAUUCAAUUAGUUUUGGCCUAAAGUUUGAAUGAAGUUCAAUAGGAUUUUUACUAGAAUUAAAUUAAUAUUGAAUUGAGAUGUAUUUGAGUGAUAUUUGUGAUUCUUUUAAUAUUUAUUUAAAAAUUCUUAUUAUUUGUUUGAAUUUUCUUUGAAGUUUUUUUGAAUUUGAUUAAGCUUGCUUAGCUUUAUUAUGGUCUAAUUAGAGUAUUUUUAGUAUUCUAUUAGAAUUAGGAUUUUGUUAUUGCAAUUUCCAUUCUUCUUUACACAGUCAUGUACCCAGAGUAUUCUCAAGCAAGACUUCACGUAUUACGACACCGCGCCAAUGGACAAGAUAUUCCAAUUUAUUUCAACACCGCCUUGAAUCUAAGACUUCUUUCACUUCAAACUCUUCAUUAUUGUCCACUUCUAGAGGAAGAGAUGGAGCUUGUCUUC